rnacentral:tRNA from 2 species
CGGUAAUGGGUUGGUUCGACUGGUCGGUCUGGGGGACCGAAGGUCGGAGGUUCAAAUCCUCUCAGCCCGA